rnacentral:rRNA from 1 species
GACGAACCGAGCGAACGUUAUUCGGAAUCACUGGGCUUAAAGGGCGCGUAGGCGGAUCAAAAAGUCAGGGGUGAAAUCCCACGGCUCAACCGGUGGAAGUGCCUUUGAUACUUUUGAUCUCGAGGGAGGUAGGGGCGUGCGGAACGUUCCGGGUGGAGCGGGUGAAAUGCGGUAGAAUAUCGGAAGGAACACCGGUGGGCGAAAAGCGGACGGCGCUGGACCUCUUCUGACGCCUGAGG